UCCGUAGGGUGCGAGCGUUGUCCGGAAUUAUUGGGCGUAAAGGGCUCGUAGGCGGUUUGUCACGUCAGGAGUGAAAACUCGGGGCUCAACCCCGAGCCUGCUUCUGAUACGGGCAGACUGGAGGUAUGCAGGGGAGAACGGAAUUCCUGGUGUAGCGGUGAAAUGCGCAGAUAUCAGGAGGAACACCGGUGGCGAAGGCGGUUCUCUGGGCAUUACCUGACGCUGAGGAGCGAAAGUGUGGGGAGCGAACAGG
rnacentral:rRNA from 1 species